AUGAACAGAUUCUGGCGGUUCAUCGCUGACGAGGAGCUUCGUGACCUUUACCUCCAUGGACGCCGAUAUACUUGGUCUAGCGAGCGCGACGCUCUGACCCUAGUCAGCAUUGAUCGCGUGCUUUGCACCUCCUGUUGGGAGAUCGCUCAUCCCAACUGCCUGCUCCAGUGCCUUUCCUCAGCAGCCUCCGAU
rnacentral:rRNA from 1 species